UAAUUUUCUUUGUGAUUCUUUUGCAUUAAUGAAAUAUAUCUUAAUCGUAUUUUUCUUAUAAGUUUAUCGCAGGAAAAAGCACGUUAUAUCACAGUACCAUUAAUUUGAUAACUUUUCGAUAAAUCAAUAACUACUAAACAUGGCGGAAAAGGAGGGAAAAGUAAAGAGAGAAAAUUUGCAUGUUAAAAUGUACAAUUAUUCACUCUCCAUACAUGAUACAAAAAGCGUAUAAAGAAUAUUUUCUUAAAUGUUUACGUAACGUUAUAAAACGUUAUAACAACAAACGUUAUAAAAUGUGUAAAAAUACUGUACAAAUAUAAAUAUACAAUACUUAUAUAAAUACCUUUUAUGUUUCCUUUGUUUCAAAAUGACUUAACAGUUUGAAGAAUUAAAGGUGGAAAUACAAGAAAUACAGCACCGAAGCUACAAUAGGUCCACAAGCUCGUGCUAAUGCUCCAAGAGAACGAAAAACACCUGUUAUUGCACCUUUUUGAUGAUCUGGACCAAUACGUGUUACAAGCGUCAUCAUACAUGUAACAACCAUGGCAGUUGCUAUAAUGUAUGAAAAAGAUAUAAAAUUUUUAUUUAUUUUAAUCAAAUAUAAUAAAUAAUCCAUAGAUAUUUGUUGUAUUUCAUAUACAUAAAUUUAUGUCACAAUAUACUCACAAAUUGCAAACAGAAA